rnacentral:tRNA from 3 species
GGGCCGGUAGAUCAGUGGGAGAUCGCCCGCCUUGCACGCGGGAGGUCGCGGGUUCAAAUCCCGCCCGGUCCA